GACGAACGCUGGCGGCGUGCUUAACACAUGCAAGUCGAACGGAAAGGCCCUGCUUUUGUGGGGUGCUCGAGUGGCGAACGGGUGAGUAACACGUGAGUAGCCUGCCCUUGACUUUGGGAUAACUUCAGGAAACUGGGGCUAAUACCGGAUAGGAGCUCCUGCUGCAUGGUGGGGGUUGGAAAGUUUCGGCGGUUGGGGAUGGACUCGCGGCUUAUCAGCUUGUUGGUGGGGUAGUGGCUUACCAAGGCUUUGACGGGUAGCCGGCCUGAGAGGGUGACCGGCCACAUUGGGACUGAGAUACGGCCCAGACUCCUACGGGAGGCAGCAGCGGGGAAUAUUGCACAAUGGGCGGAAGCCUGAUGCAGCAACGCCGCGUGCGGGAUGACGGCCUUCGGGUUGUAAACCGCUUUCGCCUGUGACGAAGCGUGAGUGACGAUAAUGGGUAAAGAAGCACCGGCUAACUACGUG
rnacentral:rRNA from 1 species